AAGCAACCCAGAGCCCUCCUCCCGCCUGCUCUGUGUAGGAGACAGCCUGCGGAGCCCACUGCCGGCGCGCAGAGAGCCCAGCAGCUCUUGAGUCCAGGAAGCAAGGGUGGGAGGAGGGACGAGCCAGUGGCAAUGACCCAGACCCGGACGACCCCCAUUGCUGAGCCAGCGGAGCUGCUUGGUGAGAGGCAGAGGUUGCAGUGAGCUGAGAUUUUGCGACUACACUCCAACCUGGGCAACAGAGCGGGACUCCAUUCCAAAAAAAUAAGAAAAACAGAAAAAUAAUAAUUACAUCUGCAAAGACCUUAUUUCCAGAUCCAAAGUCCACAAAUAUAUCAUAAAUCUGAAGAGGAACUGGGAGAAGCUUCUGCUGGCAGCUCAUGCCAUUGUUGCCAUUGAAAACCCUGCUGAUGUGUCAUAUCCUGCAGGAAUACUAGCUAGUGGGCUGUGCUGAAGUUUGCUGCUGCUGCUGGAGCCACAUGUAUUGCUGGUCACUUCACUUCUGGAACCUUUGCUAACCAGAUCCAAUCAUCUUCUGCCACCCACAUCUUCUGGUGGUUACUGAUUCUAGGGCUAACUAUCAGCCUCUCUCAGGGGCUUCUUAUGGUAACCUACCUACCUACCACUGCUGUAUGUAACAGAUUCUCCUCUGAGCUAUGUGGAUAUUGUCAUCCCAUGCAACAACAAGGAAGCUCAAUCACUGAGUCUAAUGUAGUGGAUGCUGGCCCAGGAAGCUCUGUGCAUGUGUUGCACCAUCUCCCAUGAUCAUGCCUGAUCUCUACUUCUAUAGAGAUCCUGAAGAGAUUGAAAAGGAAGAGUAGGCUGCAGCUGAAAAAGGAGGAAUUUCAAAGUGAAUGGACUGCUGUAGUGCAAGUUUACUGCUACUCAAUCUGAGGUUGCAGACUGGUUUAAAGACAUGCAGGUGCCCUCUGUGCCUAUUCAGCAGUUCCCUACUGAAGAUUGGAGCACUUAGCCUACCAUGAAUGACUGGUCUGCAACUUCCACUGCUCAGACCACUGAAUGGGUAAGAAUAACCACUGAGUGGCCUUAAGCUGUUCUUCCACAAGCUCUUAAACAAGAUGGAAAUAACGCUGAUGGAAAUAAACAACAGUUUCCAAGAAAACACGAACAGCUGAAGUGGCAAUGUUUAAGUAACAUCUGGUAGACUUUAACAUGAAUGUUAUUAAGCAGGAAAUUAUGAUCUUUUAAGUUGGAACAUGUAAUGUUAAUCCUUUUGCACCAAAAUAUCUCUUUAAGUCUAAAUUAUCCACUUUUUUUUUUAAUUCUUCGUAGAGAUAGAGGUUUCGCUUUGUUGCCCAGGCUGUUCUUGACUUCCUAACUUCAAGCAAUCCUUCUGCCUCAGCCUCCCAGAGUGCUGGGAUUAUAGGCAUUUGCCACCGUGCCUGGUGUACCCAGUUUCUGUUAUCAACAGAAUGCAGUGGUGUAUGGUUGCUAAAGGGUCCCAAGAUCAGGACCUACGUUAAGGUGGAUUUUGAAUUAUUUAAAAUUCUGAUUUUGUUUUAUUUUUAAUUAAUCUUUGGGGGAAGGAUGGGAGGGGGGUGAGGGUUGAAGAAGUAAACAUUGUACCUAUUGGAUACAAUGUUUAAUAUUUGUGUGAUGGGCACACUGGAAGCCCAAACCUCACUAUUACACAAUACAUUCAUGUAACAAGCCUGCACAUGCACCUCCUGAAUCUAUUUUUAAAAAUUUAAUUCUCUAGCACAGACUCCCUUUUUUUGGUAAGAUGGCGGGGUACGACUUAACUACUCGCAUCACGCACCUUUUGGAUCGGCAUCUAGUCUUUCCGCUCCUUGAGUUUCUCUCUGUAAAGGAGAUAUAUAAAGAAAAGGAAUUAUUACAAGGUAAAUUGGACCUUCUUAGUGAUGCCAACAUGGUAGACUUUGCUAUGGAUGCAUACAAAAACCUUUAUUCUGAUGAUAUUCCUCAUGCUUUGAAAGAGAAUAGAACCACAGUUGUUGCACAACUGAAACAGCUUCAGGCAGAAACAGAACUAAUUGUGAAAAUGUUUGAAGAUCCAGAAACGACAAGGCAAAUGCGGUCAACCAGGGAUGGUAGGAUGCUCUUUGACUACCUGGCGGACAAGCAUGGUUUUAGGCAGGAGUAUUUAGAUACAUUCUACACAUAUGCAAAAUUCCAGUAUGAAUGUGGGAAUUACUCAGGAGCAGCAGAAUAUCUUUAUUUUUUCAGAGUGUUGGUUCCAGCAACAGACAGAAAUGCUGUAAGUUCACUCUGGGGAAAGCUGGCCUCUGAAAUCUUAAAGCAGAAUUGGGAUGCAGACAUGGAAGACCUUACAUGGUUAAAAGAGACCAUAGAUAAUAAUUCUGUGAGUUCUCCACUCCAGUCUCUUCAGCAGAGAGCAUGGCUCGUUCACUGGUCUCUGUUUUCUUCAAUCACCCCAAAGGUUGUGAUAAUAUUGUUGAUCUCUUCCUUUACCAGCCACAGCAUCUUAAUGUGUCCACACAUUCUUCACUAUUUGACUACAGCAGUCAUAGCAAACAAGGAUGUUCGAAAACGUUGGCAGGUGCUAAAAGAUCUAGGUAAAGUUACUCAACAGGAGUCUUACACAUAUAAAGACCCAAUUACAGAAUUUGUUGAAUGCUUAUAGAUUAACUUUGACUUAGAUGGGGCUAAGAAAAAGCUGAGAGAAUGUGAAUCAGUGCUUGUGAACGACUUCUUGGUGGCUUGUCUUAAGGAUUUCAUUGACAAUGCCCAUCUCUUCAUAUUUGAGACUUUCUGUCACAUCCACCAGUGUAUCAGCAUUAACAUGUUGGCAGACAAAUUGAACAUGACUCCAGAUGAAACUGAAAGGUGGAUUGUAAAUGUGAUUAGAAAUGCAAGACUGGAUGCCAAGAUUGAUUCUAAAUUAGGUCAUGUGGUUAUGGUAACAAUGUACUCUCACCCUAUCAGCAAGUGAUUGAAAAGACCAAAAGCCUUUCUUUUAGAAGCUAGAUUUUGGCCAUGAAUAUUGAGAAGAAACUUAAUGACAAUAGCAGGUCAGAGGCUCCUAACUGGGCAACUCAAGAUUCUGGCUUCUACUGAAGAAACAUAAGGAAAAGAUUUUAAAAAAACUCUAAAAGAAAGAUGAAAUAAUAAAACUAUUAUAUAAAGGGUGACUUACAUUUUGGAAACAACAUAUUGAGUGUAAAUUGUGAAGAAUUGGAAUAAAAUUGACUGAUUCAAAAAAAUUUAAUUCACAAAAAAAUUUUAAUCCUUUUAAGCUAAUUAUAGAUUCACAUGUAGUUGUAAGAAGUUACAAAGAGGCUAGGUGCAGUAGCUGACGCCCAUGAUCCCCGCACUUUGGGAGGCCGAGGCAGGCAGAUCUCUUGAGGCCAGGAGUUUGAGACUAGCCUGGCCAACAUGGCAAAACCCCAUCUCUACAAAAAAUUAGCAAAGCAUGGUGGCACAUGCCUGUAAUUACAGCUACUUGGGAGGCUGAGGCAUGAGAAUCACUUGACCUGGGAUUACAAGUGUAAUCCCAGCCAUAGGCUGGGUGCAGUGGCUCACACCUGUAAUCCCAGCACUUUGGGAGGCCAAGGUACGGGUGGAUCACCUGAGGUCAAGAGUUCAAGACCAGCCUGGCCAACAUGGUGAAACCCCGUCUCUACAAAAACACAAAAAUUAGCCGGGCAUGAUGGUGCGCACCUGUAAUCCCAGCUACUCAGGAGGCUGAGGCAGGAGAAUCGCAUGAACCCAGGAGGCAGAUGUUGCAGUGAGCCAAGAUCACGCCAUUGCACUCCAGCCUGGGCAACAGAGUGAGACUCCACCUCAAAAAAAAAAAAACAAAAAAAAACCACCAGCCAUUUGGGAAGCCAAGGCAGGAUUGCUUGAGACCAACCAGAAGUUCAAGGUUGCCUGGGCAACAGAGCAAGACUGUCUCGAGACAAAACAAAAAGUCAGCAUCUUCUGCCCACUUUUACUUUAACAUACAUUUAUGGAUCUAUUGUCUCUUUCCCUGUUCUAAAACUUUAAAUUUCACAAGAAUGAAGAUUUUGCUGUCUUGUUUCCUGCUGUGUCCCCAGCAUAAACAGCAUAAAGAAGUGCCAUAAGAUAGAAAUUUUUGUUUUCUGUUCACCAGUAUAUCCACAGCACCUAGAACAGCAUCUGCUUUAGACUUAUUAGAUGAAGACUUAAAAAAAAAAGGAACAGCACUUCUGCACAUAUUUAGCACUUGAUACAUAUUUGUGGAAUAAUUUCUAUCAUAACUAGCAGCUACUUCCUAAUUUGAUAUGUAGCAUCCCGUAUUAACAGGACUUUUGUGAAUGGAGAGGACAUCUAUUUAUUCUUUGUUAUGUGCCAAAUAUAUUUGUAUUAAUCAUAACUCUUAAUAUUCCUUUAAAAUUAAAUAAUUGUUUCCACAGCUCUUAAAAUAGAAUUUAGGAACCUAGCAACAUGCCACUCAUCCAUUAACAGUGAUAAAUUAUUUAAUUUUAUAAACUUUUCAUUAAAGUAACUGAUAUAGUUUGGA
rnacentral:lncRNA from 1 species